rnacentral:rRNA from 1 species
GACGAAGGAUCCAAGCGUUGUCCGGAUUUACUGGGUUUAAAGGGUGCGUAGGCGGAUAAAUAAGUCAGAGGUGAAAGCCUGCAGCUCAACUGUAGAAUUGCCUUUGAAACUGUUUAUCUAGAGUACACUUGAGGUGGCUGGAAUAUAUCAUGUAGCGGUGAAAUGCUUAGAUAUGAUAUAGAACACCAAUUGCGAAGGCAAGUCACUAAGAUGUAACUGACGCUGAGGCACGAAAGCGUGGGUAGCAAAC